rnacentral:rRNA from 1 species
UACGGGGGGGCAAGCGUUGUUCGGAAUUACUGGGCGUAAAGGGCGCGUAGGCGGUCCGUUAAGUUAGAUGUGAAAUCUCCAAGCUCAACUUGGAAACUGCAUUGGAAACUACCUUGCUAGAGGAUUUGAGGGGGGGAUUGGAAUACUUGGUGUAGCAGUGAAAUGCGUAGAUAUCAGGAGGAACACCGGUGGUGUAGACGGCUCUCUGGACCGUAACUGACGCUGAGACACGAAAGCGUGGGUAGCAAACAGG